GAUGAAGAACGUAGCGAAAUGCGAUACGUAGUGUGAAUUGCAGAAUUCAGUGAAUCAUCGAAUCUUUGAACGCACAUUGCACCUCUCGGUAUUCCGGGAGGUAUGCCUGUUCGAGCGUCAUUUGUACCCUCAAGCUCUGCUUGGUGUUGGGUGUUUGUUCCGCCUCUGUGUGUGAACUCGCCUCAAAACAAUUGGCAGCCGGCGUACUUGUUUCGGAGCGCAGCACAUUUUGCGAUCCAGAUCAACGUACAGCGGCAUCCAAGAAGGCUUAUUUAACGCUCUUGACCUCGGAUCAGGUAGGGAUACCCGCUGAACUUAAGCAUAUCAAUAAGCGGAGGA
rnacentral:misc_RNA from 1 species